UCUUAUCAAGAGAGGUGGAGGGAUGUGCCCGAUGAAGCCCGGCAACCGUCAAUGAUUAUUGAAAUGGUGCCAAUUCACACAAAGCAAUAAGCUUUGAAAGAUGG
rnacentral:ncRNA from 1 species